UGUCCUCCUCUGUGCAUCUGCCUUUCCAAUAAAUAAAUGUUAAAAAAGAAAAGAAAAGGCAACAACAACAAUGCUAACAGGUUGCAAGGUGCUGUUGUGUUUGGGGAUCAGGAAGGCAUCUGUGAGGGGUCAGCUGGAAGGAGGGAGGCAGGAAUGGGAGGGGUCCAGAGAUGCUGAGAUAAGAGUGAGGGCUCUGCAGUGAAUGCCUCAUUCCCUUUUGUUUCAGAUCCUCAAGAAUAGACAUUUCUUGAGCUUUUCUGGGCUGAGUCUAGAAAAACAGACCAAGAUCACCCUCCUUAACUCCAGGUAGAGGCCGGGAAGGGUACAACAAGGAUGAGAAAAGCGGAAAGGAUAUGGAUGAUGCCCUGUCGGAGUCAUGGUUUGUUGGAAUUUGUCCAGUUAUUCACAGCUCUGGGGUUUGGAAUGUGGCUCCAUUUCUUGAAUUGUCCAAGCUUGGAUUAUCUCACCUUGAACCCACCUAUACAAAUUUCCUGUAGCCAUAGGAGCCAGCAUGAAGUUGAAGACGGUUUUUGUUAAAAUGGUAUGUUACCUGUAAGCUGUCCCCAUGUACAAAAAUUUGUGACACCACUCUACUCCUGAUAUAGAUGUUUUCAAUCUUCUCUGGAGCAAUGUAUUCUCCUUGGGCCAACUUGAAAAUGUUCUUUUUACGGUCAAUGAUCUUCAGCGUUCCAUUCUGUAUAAAUCACAUAAAGUCAUCAGUAUUUUUGAGCCCUAGGGAUGGUGUUAGCAGGGAGAAUACUAAGACAGUCUCUUCCUUCUUUAGAGCUGAUUGCUCCAAAGAUUUUUAAGUCAUCUUUCUCUUUUGGGGAUAAGGGAAGUGACUUCCAGCAAGAACUUAUCUGUACUGCCUGUCCAGAUGGAAAGCCAAGAUGCAACCACUAACAGAGUCCUUGGGGUCUGCAAGGGUGUGCAUAUGAAGAAAUGUCUCAUCUAAUGAAUAAAUGUUGCACUUCUCAAUUUCUAAUAACUUAAUUUGCAAUUACCAGCUGAGCAUCCCUCAUCAGAAAAUGUGAGAUCCAAAAUGCAGAAUGUUUCAGAUUUUUUGGAUUAAAGACACCCAGCUGGCAUAUCUAUGUGAAUAUUCCAAAAAUCUGUGAAAUCUGAAGCUUACUUAGUCCCAAGCAUUUCUGAUAAAGGGAUACUCAACGUUUACUCUUAUCUGCUAAAACACUCAGGAUUCAGGAAGGAGUCAUCUCUAUUACUAAAACUUUAGGAUUAAAUAACACUCUACCUCCUUCACUUGCUCGUUAUGUUCCCCUCCUGUUAGAACCUGGAGCAAACUAAAACAGCUCAGCUGUAUUAAUCAGGCAAGUCAGUAAUUGGGCUUGUUAGGACAGAAGCAGGGCUGGUGAGAGCAGUCUGACCAGCCAUCCAGGUCACUUGCAGCUUCCCGGUUCUGGGCUAAUUGGUCUGAGAAGCUUAAGUUCUUAGGGAUUUAAAUUCUGGAAUUGGGGCGGGUAGCAAAUCAAGUCCACAUGAUUACAGCCUAAAUGGAGCAAGAAACUGGACCAACCAUGAACUCAUCAACAAGGCUACCUGAUGAUUAGGCACCUAUGCAGCCUUCCUUAUCUGAAUGUCAUUAGUAACCCAGUGAGGGGAUAUGGCUAUUACCUACAUCCUAGGCUUAUUAGAACAACACACUGAUUAAG